rnacentral:lncRNA from 1 species
AAACAAUUCAAGUUACUCAGAACAUAUUCUUUAACUACAGUAAUUAAAUUAAAAAUCAACACCAGAAAGAUCUGGAAUACUUCCAAAUAUUUGGAAACUAACAUACUUCUGGAGACAGUUUAUUGUUGCAUCUUGUUUUUUAAUCCAGUUUGCCAGUCUAUCUUGAUUCAUGUGAGUUUAGGCCAAGUACAUUCAGUGUUAUUAUUGAGAAGUGGUUUUUAUUUCCUGUCAUUUUAUUUCUGGUUUUUAACUUGAAAUAGUUUCUCCUUUGAUUGGCUAUUCUAGUGUUAUUCCUCCCUCUGCUGGUUUUCACUUUUGUCAUUUCUUCAUGAAAUGCCAUACUGAACAUGUUUGUGGUGCAGGCUCUGUAGAGUUGUGAAUGUUUUUAACUUUUUUAUUAUUAUGGAAGGUUUUUAUCUCAUUGUCAAUUCUGAAGGUUAAUUUUACUGGGUAUAAUAUUCUUGGCUGGUAUCUAUUCUCUUUCAGAGCAAGCUCUGUGUGUGUGUGUGUGUGUGUGUGUUCCAAGACCACCUAUCUUUGAGGGUCUGGGUUGAGAAACCAGCUGAGAUUCAGAUUGGUUUCUCUCUUAAGGUGACCUGUUGUUUUUCUCUGGCGGCCUUUAAAAUUUUAUUCUUAUUCUGUAUGUUAGACAUUUUCAUAAUAAUGUGCCUUAGUGUGGGUCUGUCGUAGUUUUUUUAUAUUUGGGGUCCUUGUAAGCCUCCUGUGUUUGAUUUUUCCAUUUCCCAAACUAUGUUUGGGAGUUUUUCUGGUAUUAUUUCAUUGAAAAGAUUGUGCUUCCUUUCAUUUCCUUCAUCCCAAUAAAUCUUAAAUUUGGACUGAAGUUCAGGUUAUCCCAUAUUUCUUGGAAGUUCUGUUUAUGGUGUCUUUAACAUCUUUUCUCCAUGUUCUACUUUAAUUUGAAGAUUAUCUAUUUUGUCUUCAUUGCCUAAAACUGUCUUCCAUAUGGUCUAGUUUGUUGGUGAUGCUUUCCAUUGAAUUUUUAAUUUGGUUUAUUAAUUCCUUCAUUUCAAGGAUUCUGCUUGAUUUUUUUUUUCAAAAAUCUCUCUAUUGAAAUGAUCUUUCACUUCCUGUAUUUUCUCCCUGAUUUCACUCCUUACUUUUUUUUGUCCCUUUCUCGCAUAUCAGUUUAACUAUAUUCAUUCUAAACUCCUCUGACAUUUCUUCCACUGUGGCGUCAAUAGAUUCUGUUAUUGGAGUAUCUUGGUU